rnacentral:rRNA from 1 species
ACGCUCGACACCUACUGGAGGCAGCAGUGAGGAAUAUUGGUCAAUGGACGCAAGUCUGAACCAGCCAUGCCGCGUGCAGGAUGACGGCUCUAUGAGUUGUCAACUGCUUUUGUACGAGGGUAAACGCAGAUACGUGUAUCUGUCUGAAAGUAUCGUACGAAUAAGGAUCGGCUAACUCCGCGCCAGCAGCCGCGGUAAUCUGAGCGGGCUGGCAAGGC